AUUAUGUAAAAGAAAAAGCUGACUGACUGACUGAUCUAUCAACGCAUAGUUCAAAGUACUGGACGGGUCAGGCUAAAAUUCGGCAUGUAGAUAGCUAUUAUGACAUGGACAUUCGCUAAGAAAGGAGUUUUGAAAAUUCAACCUUGAGGCAGUAAAUGGGUUUGAAAUUUGUGUAGUCAUCGCGGAUGAAG